GCCCGGGAACGCGAAGAACCUUACCUGGUCUUGACAUCCACGGAAGUUUUCAGAGAUGAGAAUGUGCCUUCGGGAACCGUGAGACAGGUGCUGCAUGGCUGUCGUCAGCUCGUGUUGUGAAAUGUUGGGUUAAGUCCCGCAACGAGCGCAACCCUUAUCCUUUGCUGCCAGCGGUCCGGCCGGGAACUCAAAGGAGACUGCCAGUGAUAAACUGGAGGAAGGUGGGGAUGACGUCAAGUCAUCAUGGCCCUUACGACCAGGGCUACACACGCGCUACAAUGGCGCAUACAAAGAGACGCGACCUCGCGAGAGCAAGCGGACCUCAUAAAGUGCGUCGUAGUCCGGAUUGGAGUCUGCAACUCGACUCCAUGAAGUCGGAAUCGCUAGUAAUCGUGGAUCAGAAUGCCACGGUGAAUACGUUCCCGGGCCUUGUACACACCG
rnacentral:rRNA from 1 species